rnacentral:rRNA from 1 species
UACGUAGGGGGCAAGCGUUGUCCGGAUUUACUGGGCGUAAAGAGUGUGUAGGCGGCCAUGUAGGUCCGUUGUGAAAACUCGAGGCUCAACCUCGAGACGCCGAUGGAAACCAUAUGGCUAGAGUCCGGAAGAGGAGAGUGGAAUUCCUGGUGUAGCGGUGAAAUGCGCAGAUAUCAGGAAGAACACCCGUGGCUAAGGCGGCUCUCUAGUACGGUACUGACGCUGAGACGCGAAAGCGUGGGGAGCGAACAGG